GGUUAAGCGACUAAGCGUACACGGUGGAUGCCCUGGCAGUCAGAGGCGAUGAAGGACGUGCUAAUCUGCGAUAAGCGCCGGUAAGGUGAUAUGAACCGUUAUAACCGGCGAUUUCCGAAUGGGGAAACCCAGUGUGAUUCGUCACACUAUCAUUAACUGAAUCCAUAGGUUAAUGAGGCGAACCGGGGGAACUGAAACAUCUAAGUACCCCGAGGAAAAGAAAUCAACCGAGAUUCCCCCAGUAGCGGCGAGCGAACGGGGAGGAGCCCAGAGCCUGAAUCAGCAUGUGUGUUAGUGGAAGCGUCUGGAAAGGCGCGCGAUACAGGGUGACAGCCCCGUACACAAAAGCGCAUGUGCUGUGAGCUCGAUGAGUAGGGCGGGACACGUGGUAUCCUGUCUGAAUAUGGGGGGACCAUCCUCCAAGGCUAAAUACUCCUGACUGACCGAUAGUGAACCAGUACCGUGAGGGAAAGGCGAAAAGAACCCCGGCGAGGGGAGUGAAAAAGAACCUGAAACCGUGUACGUACAAGCAGUGGGAGCACAGGUUUACCUGUGUGACUGCGUACCUUUUGUAUAAUGGGUCAGCGACUUAUAUUCUGUAGCAAGGUUAACCGUAUAGGGGAGCCGGAGGGAAACCGAGUCUUAAUUGGGCGUUAAGUUGCAGGGUAUAGACCCGAAACCCGGUGAUCUAGCCAUGGGCAGGUUGAAGGUUGGGUAACACUAACUGGAGGACCGAACCGACUAAUGUUGAAAAAUUAGCGGAUGACCUGUGGCUGGGGGUGAAAGGCCAAUCAAACCGGGAGAUAGCUGGUUCUCCCCGAAAGCUAUUUAGGUAGCGCCUCGUGAAUUCAUCUCCGGGGGUAGAGCACUGUUUCGGCUAGGGGGCCAUCCCGGCUUACCAACCCGAUGCAAACUGCGAAUACCGGAGAAUGUUAUCACGGGAGACACACGGCGGGUGCUAACGUCCGUCGUGAAGAGGGAAACAACCCAGACCGCCAGCUAAGGUCCCAAAGUCAUGGUUAAGUGGGAAACGAUGUGGGAAGGCCCAGACAGCCAGGAUGUUGGCUUAGAAGCAGCCAUCAUUUAAAGAAAGCGUAAUAGCUCACUGGUCGAGUCGGCCUGCGCGGAAGAUGUAACGGGGCUAAACCAUGCACCGAAGCUGCGGCAGCGAACGUAUCACCCAAGACAACUUUACGGAGUUGACGAUUGACGGAGCGAAGCGACGUCAAAGCGUUCAUUAAAGUCGAGUUGGCUUAGGGAUACGUUCGUUGGGUAGGGGAGCGUUCUGUAAGCCUGUGAAGGUGUGUCGUGAGGCAUGCUGGAGGUAUCAGAAGUGCGAAUGCUGACAUAAGUAACGAUAAAGCGGGUGAAAAGCCCGCUCGCCGGAAGACCAAGGGUUCCUGUCCAACGUUAAUCGGGGCAGGGUGAGUCGACCCCUAAGGCGAGGCCGAAAGGCGUAGUCGAUGGGAAACGGGUUAAUAUUCCCGUACUUGGUGUUACUGCGAAGGGGGGACGGAGAAGGCUAUGUUGGCCGGGCGACGGUUGUCCCGGUUUAAGCGUGUAGGUGUGUGUUCCAGGUAAAUCCGGUUCACUUUAACACUGAGGCGUGACGACGAGGCACUACGGUGCUGAAGCAACAAAUGCCCUGCUUCCAGGAAAAGCCUCUAAGCAUCAGGUAACAUCAAAUCGUACCCCAAACCGACACAGGUGGUCAGGUAGAGAAUACCAAGGCGCUUGAGAGAACUCGGGUGAAGGAACUAGGCAAAAUGGUGCCGUAACUUCGGGAGAAGGCACGCUGACACGUAGGUGAAGUGAUUUACUCAUGGAGCUGAAGUCAGUCGAAGAUACCAGCUGGCUGCAACUGUUUAUUAAAAACACAGCACUGUGCAAACACGAAAGUGGACGUAUACGGUGUGACGCCUGCCCGGUGCCGGAAGGUUAAUUGAUGGGGUCAGCGCAAGCGAAGCUCCUGAUCGAAGCCCCGGUAAACGGCGGCCGUAACUAUAACGGUCCUAAGGUAGCGAAAUUCCUUGUCGGGUAAGUUCCGACCUGCACGAAUGGCGUAAUGAUGGCCAGGCUGUCUCCACCCGAGACUCAGUGAAAUUGAACUCGCUGUGAAGAUGCAGUGUACCCGCGGCAAGACGGAAAGACCCCGUGAACCUUUACUAUAGCUUGACACUGAACAUUGAGCCUUGAUGUGUAGGAUAGGUGGGAGGCUUUGAAGUGUGGACGCCAGUCUGCAUGGAGCCGACCUUGAAAUACCACCCUUUAAUGUUUGAUGUUCUAACGUGGACCCGUAAUCCGGGUUGCGGACAGUGUCUGGUGGGUAGUUUGACUGGGGCGGUCUCCUCCUAAAGAGUAACGGAGGAGCACGAAGGUUGGCUAAUCCUGGUCGGACAUCAGGAGGUUAGUGCAAUGGCAUAAGCCAGCUUGACUGCGAGCGUGACGGCGCGAGCAGGUGCGAAAGCAGGUCAUAGUGAUCCGGUGGUUCUGAAUGGAAGGGCCAUCGCUCAACGGAUAAAAGGUACUCCGGGGAUAACAGGCUGAUACCGCCCAAGAGUUCAUAUCGACGGCGGUGUUUGGCACCUCGAUGUCGGCUCAUCACAUCCUGGGGCUGAAGUAGGUCCCAAGGGUAUGGCUGUUCGCCAUUUAAAGUGGUACGCGAGCUGGGUUUAGAACGUCGUGAGACAGUUCGGUCCCUAUCUGCCGUGGGCGCUGGAGAACUGAGGGGGGCUGCUCCUAGUACGAGAGGACCGGAGUGGACGCAUCACUGGUGUUCGGGUUGUCAUGCCAAUGGCACUGCCCGGUAGCUAAAUGCGGAAGAGAUAAGUGCUGAAAGCAUCUAAGCACGAAACUUGCCCCGA
rnacentral:rRNA from 1 species